GUGCUCGCUUUGGCAGCAUAUAUGUUAAAUUGGAACAAACACAGAGAGGAUUAGCAUGGCCCCUUCACAAGGAAAACAUGCAAAUUUGUGAAGUGUUCCAUAAAAAA
ensembl:snRNA U6 U6 spliceosomal RNA